AUAUGGUCAAGAUAUCAUUGUAUAUGCAAUAUUUCAUAGCGUGGCUAGAAGGCUUGGUCUACGUUGCGAUGUACUACAGGUUUUUAAUCGAUUCUGUGUAUUUUGGAAACAAAAAUGCGUCACGAAUAAUUUCGAAAAUGCACGAUGUUUUUAUAUAAAAGACGAGAAUUUUCCGAAUUGUCUUCAUGAUUAUCUAUCAGAUUACAAGUCUUGUACACAUCAUGACAUCAUCAAAAUAAGAACUGAACAGAUGUUGGACAUGAUAAAAGAUUU